GAGGAACAGGAAAGAAGGAAAUAUGGGGAAAUGGGGUGAAUGUCAGGUGGAUCAGAGAGAUACAGUCAUGGGGGUCAGGUGUGGUAUCAGGAAUAAUGUGGGAGGCUGGAUUGAAGUCCGGGCCAGGAACAAUGGUAAUUGUGGGACUUAACAAAGAGUGAGUACAGCUGAAGGAGCCGGGGAGCAGAAAGUAUAUGCAUCAGGUAUGAGGAAGAAAAUAGAUUUUGGAAGUUAUGAGAAAUGUAGAGAGUGAGUUGAGCAUAGUUUGUGAUUUUUAGGGCCUCUAAAAGUAUUAAAGCAGCGGCAGCCGCUGCACGCAGACAUGAGGGCUAGGCUAAAACAGUAAGGUUAAGUUAUUUGGACAGAAAGGCUACAUGGUGUGGUCCUGUCUCUUGUGUAAGAAUUCUGACCGCACUAACCAUGCCUAGGAAGGAAAGGAGUUGUUGUUUUGUAAGGGAUUGAGGUUUGGGAGAAUAAUUGGACACGAUCAGCAGGGAGAGCACGUGUGUUUUUAUGAGAAUUAUGCUGAGAUAGGUAACAGAUGAGGAUGAAAUUUGGGCUCGACUGAAGUAAUAGGGUCUGUCUGUGAAGCCUUGCGGCAGUACAGCCCAGGUAAUUUGCUGAGCCUAAUGGGUGUCAGGGUCAGUCUAAGUGAAAGCGAAGAGAGGCUGGGAUGAAGGGUGCAAAGGAAUAGUAAAGAAAGCAUGUUUGAGAUCCAGAACAGAAUAAUGGGUUGUAGAGGGAGGUAUUGAGGAUAGGAGAGGAUACGGGUUUGGCACCAUGGGGUGGAUAGGCAAAACAAUUUGGUUGAUAAGGCGCAGAUUCUGAACUAACCUGUAAGCCUUGUCUGGUUUUAGGACAGGUAAAAUGGGGGAAUGGUAAGGAGAGUUUAUAGGCUUUAAAAGACCAUGCUGUAGCAGGCGAGGGAUAACAGGCUUUAAUCUUUUUAAAGCGUGCUGUGGGAUGGGAUAUUGGCAUUGAGGGGGGUAAGGGUGAUUAGGUUUUAAUGAGAUUGUAAGGGGUGCAUGAUCGGUCGCCAAGGAGGGAAUAGAGGUAUCUUAUACUUGUGGGUUAAGGUGGGGGGGGAUACGAGAGGGAGAUGCGAAGGAGGCUUUGAACUGGGGAAAAGGUGGCAAUGAGGUGUGGCUGUAGCCCAGGAAUAGUCAGGGAAGCAGCUAAUUUGGUUAAAAUAUCUCGGCCUAAUAAGGGAACUGGGCAGGUGGGGAUAAAUAAAAAAGUGCAUAAAGGAGUGUUGUCCAAGUUGGCACUAGAGUUGAGGAGUUUUCAGGGGUUUUGAAGCUUGGCCGUCGAUACCCACAACAAUUAUCGGGGCGAGGAAAACAGGCCCUUGAAAAGAAGGUAACGUGGACUGGGUAGCCUCUGUAUUGAUUAAGAAGGGGACAGACUUACCCUCCACUGUGAGAGUUACUUAGAGCUCUCUGUCCUGUAGGCUUCCGAGGCAAUCUGGCAGUGUCAGUCUUCAGCUGCUAAGCCGAGAAGAUCUGGGAAGGAGUCAGUCAGAGAGCCUUGGGCCGGAGUUCCAGGGACUCUGGGAGUGGCUGCCAGGUUUUCUUUUCCUUUACCUACCAUGUUUUGUACAUACUGGACCAGUGAAAUACUACUAAUGCAUCAAAGCUUACUUCAAAAGCCAACUUAUCCAUCAACUCUUCUCUAAUCCCUCAUCAGCAAAAGACCAUGGCACUCAAUGGCUCAGUUGACACCACCAAGACACAUAAUCUGGCUCAACAAGUUUUGCGAUUCCAACCAGGGACAAAAGAUAACAAGAAAGCCUCACUUUGACCUCCUUAUGAUUUCAUCUCCAACCUGACCAGACAGCACUCCCGACUCCCAACUUCCCAAGCCCCUACCUGCCACAUUAUUUUUAAAAACUCCCAUCUCCGAAUGCUCUGGGAGACUGAUUUGAGUAAUAAUAAAACUCCGGUCUCCCACACAGCUAACUCUGUGUGAAUUAUUCUUUCUCCAUUGCAGUUCUCCUGUCUUGAUAAAUCGGCUCUGUCUAGGCAGUGGGCAAGGCGAACCUGUUAGGCUGUUAUACUUUAUGUAAAAAAAUGAAGCAAAUAGCUCUAAAUUAAAUUAUUUCUUCUAAGGGAACAUGGAAAGUAACAUUGAAAGUAAAUGCGUGAGUAAAUUCUAAAUCUCACUAAAAAACAAAAAACAAACAAACAAAAAAAACAACUUCACUUUCCUCCAUUGUGUAUCUAACUUUAAGUGUGUUGGGACUUGGGCGUUGCCCCAUUCAGGCAAUGUGGUGGUGAAGAACAUUACUGUAUACUUUAGGCUCAACAUUCCUCUGCAGGUGUGCUUAGUUCUGUAAAAAUUAAUGAGUAAAAAUAGGAAGCUUGGCCAGGCACAGUGGCUCACGCCUGUAAUCCCAGCACUUUGGGAGGCCAAGGUGGGCAGAUCACAAGGUCAGGAGUUUGCGACCAGCCUGGCCAACAUAGUGAAACCCCAUCUCUACUAAAAAUAUAAAAAUUAGCCGGGCAUGGUGGCGUGCGCCUGUAGUCCCAGCUACUCAGGAGGCUGAGGCAGGAGAAUCGCUUGAACCCGGGAGGCAGAGGUUGUGGUGAGCCGAGGUCAUGCCACUGCACUCCAGCCUGGGGAACAGAGUGAGACUCCAUCUCAAAAAAAAAAAAAAAAAAAAAAAGGGAGCUCAUACUAUUUGUCAGGGUCACAGAGUAAAUGAAUUGUCGUUGCCAAAUACAUCAGUGAACACAGUUACUGGAGGAACUAUUUAUAAAGGCAGCUGUAGGGUAAAUGGAAAAUAACAAGACAUGGUGAAGCACUGCAGGGCUAGCACCAGCGGACAGCCACUAAUGCAAAUUAAGCCUUUAGAGGCAAGAGGAGGAGCCACUACUAGAUUCCUGAGAGAGCUAUAGGAGAGGGCCACUUGACGGAAGCUAAAUCUUCAGUCUUCUAAUAUAGCCACUCUCAAUCUCUGACCAGGUAAAUAUCUGGACGCCACUCUCUUUUUAUCCUCCCACUAUCUUGCCAGUUUUCUCAUUGGCUGAACCCAUCUGGAAUCCAGAGAGCUAGAAAAAUCCUCAAUUCAAUCUACAGGAUGGAAAAUAAUAAGGAGAGGAUGUUAAGGAGCAAAUGAAGAUAUCAAGUAAUCACCAUUCAAAGAGUCUGCACAUCUUUACUCCAUUUCCAUUUGUUAACAAAAUUUAGUUUUAAAAAUACAAACUACAAUUUCAGCUCCUAUAUUUUUGGGGAAUUUUUAUAAUGUAGUAAAUUAUGGAAGAAAUAUAGUAACUUUAUCACUUACAAAAUGUACUUCUUAGUAAAAUUAUAUAAACACACAUAUAAAUAUUUUUAUAAAGAUAUGUUAUAUUCAUUUCUACAUUGUUCUUGCUAGGGAACAUCAGCAUUAUCUGUGUUGUUAAAAUCAUAUUUAUUGUGCAUAUCAUUUUAAUGCUAUGUAAUAUCCCAACAUGCAGCUAUACCAUAGAUAUGAACAUGUGUAUGUGUGUAUAUAUUUGUCUGUGCUGAUAAUUGUUUUACUUCUUCUCUUUCUCCUUCUUCUCUUUUCUCCUGAACUUAACUCAGGCAGUUGUGAAACUUGGACAAUACUUACUCCUAGUCAUCAAAUUCCUCUUUUGGAAAUACAGUAAUAAUUGCACUUUAAACUGUCAACAGAGAAAAGGGAAGAAAACCUCAAAUCCAGUGAGAGAUUGUCAUCAAGAAAAGAAGCUCUGUUUAAUUAGAAGUUAGAAUUCUUAGAAAUUCUAAUCUGGUCUGACUUUUCUUCGGUUCCUGCUUACUGAAGUAAGGGCAGAGGGAAGUCUGUGUUCUCAGUAUUUUCAGUUUUGCUUAGAAAGCAAACCUGUGGGACUUUCUUAUGCAUAAGUUUAGUUUCAUUCAGAUGAAAGUUAAAUGGAAGAUUUUUACAUAGAGUUGAGGGUUUCAGAUUCAGCACAAAUUCAAGUGUGAAAUGAUACUUGUAUGUUAGAGAAAUUAUCAUAACCAGGGGGACUUGCAACUUUCUUCUUCAUUGAUAACUAGUUAUGCAUUUAGAACCAUUACCAAGCUGUAAGACAUAAAUUCAUGUUGCAUGCAUCAAGACAGGCUCAAUGACUGAAGAUUUUAGAAUACUUUGAAAAUGAAUUCAUGAAAUAUAAAUUACAGAACGUUGUUUCUUUUUUGUGUCUUGAAUUAAUCUUCAUAUAGACAUUUUACAGACUAAAACUCAUAUAGACAUAGGUAAAUGACUGAUAAUAUUUAAUCUAUAAAUUACAGUGUGUGUACAUAUAUAUUAUUAAUGCUACAUAAUAUCCUGACAUUUUUCUCCAAAAUAAUUGUUGUUCUUGCUUUUGAAUGAGCUUUCAUAGUAGAAUAUAUAAGAAAGCUCAUUCAAAAGCAACAACAAAAAAUAUAUUUAAGGCACCACAUUAGAUACUAUACGUUUAAAAUUGUAAACCUAUCACUCUGGGACUCCACACUCCUGAAACUUUCUGAGUAAUGAAUAAUCACAAAGAACCCAAAGAACUGCAAGAAAAGAUUUGUUGAAUUCAGUAUCUGGCAUUUAUCUUUUUUAACAAACAAGGAAAGUAUUCCUCUUAGUGGAAAUAGAAGCCUAAGGAGUACGGCCAUAAUAUAGCAAGAAUCUUGGAAUAGGCAGAGAUGAGAAGUCCUUUUAUAGCUACUGAAGACAUCUGAUGAUGAAGUAGACAGGCUCUAAGAAAAAAUGGCUUCUUUUUUAUAGGAUAUCUCAGCUGGUAAUAAAAUGUUUUCUAUAUAUGAAUAAACAACAACAAAUGGGGAACACAAGGUCCAUUAAAAAUUCGACACUUCCUUAAUAACUGCCUAUUGAAGAUACUUAAAUAUGGAUAUUAUAUUGAUUAGCCCUUAUAUAACAUAGAUGAUAAAAAGCAAUUGCAUGUUCCUCAAGGCAUCCAAAAUCUGAAAUUUACAGUUGCAUGGUGAAGGGCAGACAUUUCUUGUACUUGAAACAAAGUCUUGUUAUGAGGGUAAGAAAGGCAGUUAUCUGAGAAUUAGAGUUUUAUUUUUGCAUUUCCCAUUUAUUCUACUUUAUUUUUGGAGUGAAUACUUUAAAAAGUGAUACUGCAAUUUAUCAUUUAUAAUGUGUCAGGCGCUCUUUUGUAUGUUAAUUAUUAUUCUUACUUAGUUUAGGAAAAAUGAUGCUACCUAUGGUUCAAGUUAUAGGAAUUCUCUGAGUUGGUUUAUGAAUACAAAUGGAUAAAAAUAUUAGUUUGCUUCUGCAUUUUUUAUUAUUUAUUAUAUAAGAGGAAGCAAAGUAUAUUGGUUAAGAGUAUAGGCCCUGGAGUUAGCCUUUCUGGGUUGGAAUCUUGUCUCUACCAAUUACUCAGGCAAGCUACUUAAUCUACUGUGGAAGAUCAAAGAUGGUUGCAAAUUCUCUUUCCCUCCCCUCCAACUUGGAACAAAUCUUUUGACCGGUAGAACACAGCAGAAGUGACACAGUGCCCGUUUCUUUUUAAGUUUUAUUUUAAAUUGCAUAGAUUUGUGAGGUUCAAUGUAAUGUUAUGAUAUGUGUACAUAAAGUGGAAUAAUUAAAGCUAAUUAACAUAUUUAUAACCUCCAUAGUUAUCAAUUUGUAAUUGCAUCAGACCAAUCUGGUUCAACUUUUACAUAACAAAGUUGUGGGCUAUUUUUCAGUUGCCAUGGACCUCUAGGUUAAAGGUCACAUAAUCUGAACAUGCCAGGAUGAACCAAGCAUGUGAUCAUGCGGGGGGGAUCUAAGCACUUGGACCCAGGAAUGGGGGCUGAAUUAAGAUGUAUUCACUACAUGGCAGGAUCCAGGAUUCAAUCGGAUUGCACCCUGGCAUCAUCCUGUGGCGGGAUCCGGUCAGAUCUUGCUUUCCAGCACACCUCACUGCAAGAGCCAAUCAGAUCACAUCUCAUUACCCUACUCUUACAAAACCCGACCCAAACCCCAGUGCAAGGAGACAGAUUUGAGUGUUUCCUUCUUUCUCCUUGCUGGUUGACUCACAAUAAGGCUUUUCUUUUCUCAAGAGCUGGUGCCAUGGUAUUGGCCUCUCUGUGCAUUGGGAAGAAAGCCUGUUGAUUGAUUGGUAGCAAAUUUUGUGGUGAGAACAUUUAUUUGUACUCCCAUGUUGCUUGCAGUGGUGCCAGUUUCUAGGUCCAUGCUUUAAGGACAGACAACUUACACUUCUUUAUUUUGGAACCUCUCUCUGAGAUUCUUGAGCUACUGUGUAAGACAUUAAACCAUCUGAGACCACCACAUUGGAGACAGCAUGUGUAUGUGCUCUGGUUGGCAACCCCAAAUAAGCCCAGCCUUCCAACCAUUCUUACCAAUGUAUCAGAUGAGUGAGUAAAGCUGCUUUGGAUUUCCUAGACCCACCCAUCCUUCAGCUGAAUACAACAAGUGAUCUCCAUCAAUGUCAUGAGGAACAGAAUUAUUCAACCCAGACUUGCCUGAAUUCCUGAUUCCCACAAUCAUGAAGUUUAAUAAAAUAGAUGGUUUUAUAAGUCACCGUAUUUGGAGCAAUUAUAAUAGUUUCUACAUUGUGGAUUUUUUCUGAGAAUGGAAUGAGAUACGAUAUGUAGUGCACUUAAAAGUGUCUGAUACAUAUUAUGUAUCAAACAUUAGCUACCUUAAUAGUUAAUAUUUUUCUCUACAUCUUACUCAAGGACUUAGUAAGCAAAGAAUGGCUGUGAUCUAGUAAACCUAGAAGUUCUUGGAUCUUGUGCUAAUUCUAAUGCAAUUUUCUAAUGUCUUGGUCUCAAUCUUAUGUGUAACUACAUUGAUUUCCCUACUAGCAAGCAGACUCAAUGUCUUAGUUUGGAUUCCCCUAGAAAUAGAAACUGAAUAAAGAUGUAAAUGCAAGGACUUUACUUAAAAGGUGAGAGAAACACUGGUGUGGGAGUUGGAAAGUGAGGUAGAGAAGGGGAGGCGCUUAAAGAUGCCUUAUCCACAAAGAGAUACCAUCUCACACCAGUCAGAAUGGCUAUUAUUAAAAAGUCACAAAAUAGCAGAUGUUGGCAAGGUUGCAGAGAAAAGGGAAUGCUUUAACACUGUCAGUGGGAAUGCAAAUUAGUUCAGCCAUUGUGGAAAGCACUGUGGUGAUUUCUUAAAGAACUUAAAACAGAAUUACUAUUUGACCCAACAAUCCCAUUAUUGGGUAUAUACCCCAAGGGAUAUGGAUAUCAAUUAUUCUACCAUAAAGACACAUAUGUUAAUCACAACACUAUUCACAAUAGCAAAGAUACAUAAUCAAUCUAAAUGCCCAUCAACAGUAGACUGAAUAAAGACAAUGUGGUACAUAUACACCAUGGAACACUAUGCAGCCAUAACAAAGAAGAGAUCGUGUCCUUUGCAGCAACAUAGUUGAAGCUGGAGGCCAAUAUUCUAAGCAAACUAAUGCAGAAGCAGAAAGCUAAAUACUGCAUAUUCUCACUUAUAAGUGAGAACUAAACAAUGAGAACACGUGGAUAUAAAGAGAGGAACAGCUUUGCCCAGUGGCGGCAUUGUAGCCAAUGAGGUUUACCUGAAGUACAAUUAUUGCUAAUUGAAAACUUUUCCCAAUACCCCUCCAUGACGACUUGAAAUAUAGUCAGCACUGGCAAUUUUUGACCGUCUCUACAGAGACUGAAAAGAAAAAAAAAAAAGAGGAGAACAGCAGACACCAGGGCCUACUUGAGGAUGGAGGGUAGGAGAAGGGAGAGGAUUAAAAAAACUACCUCUUCGGUGCUAAACUUAUUACCUGAGUGAUCAAAUAAUCUACACACCAAACUCCUGUGGCACACAGUUUACCUAUAUAACAGACCUGUACAUGUACCCCUGGACCUAAAAUAAAAGUUAAAAAAAAAAAAAGAUGCCUUAUCAAACCACUUCCCAUGGGUAAAUAGAGCUUAAUUCUAAUAGGAAACUCUGGGCGUCAGUGUAAAACUUGUGCCUCUGAAUGAUCUCACCCAAGGGGCAAGGUAGCCAAGCCAUUAAUACACCAAUUCUGAUCAUUGAUUGGGGCUGCCAGGACGAGGUAUGCUGAAUACAAGACACUUGUAAAGUGACCUUCCAGUUAAACAGCCACGUGGGCUCCGGUGGCAAAAAACACCCCCAGGAACUGAAAUGCUGGUGCUAUCUAUCAGUCUGCAGUAGUGAGUAAGAGUGUAGGUGGGGGUGCAAAGUCAUAUGCUGUGGUCAGUGAAAUGAGAAAUGCCUGAUUGUUCAUCUGCCUAGCGUCCCCGUGUCGAGAUCUUCCACCCAGUGCAACACAGAUCACUUUUAUUCCUGAGUGACUACUCAUUGAAACUGUUCAUGACGAGAAUCUGACCUUGGCAAAUUAAAUCACUGCCGCCCAUAUUUUUAGUGAUAUCUAAUGAGACUUGUAAUUAAUCCUGAGCUUAGAUUCCUUGAGAGACCUACAAGUCUCCAGACUCUCUUAACACAUCCAAAAGUGCUGGCACUUCACAAAAUCCCCAAAGCUUGGAGAAUUCACUUAGAGUGCGGAUGUUCCUGCCACCCACUGACAUCCAAAGUGAUUAACUUCCAGAGGUGGCAUUGUUUGAAAUCAUCGAUUUAACUGUCCACUGCAAAGGGACUUGCCUUUUCUCUGUUGAAGUGUUUUUAUUUAAAAGGACUUGGCUUUCUAUAGAUGAGUGAAGAAAUCUUUCACACUACAGAACUUGAGUUAUUGAAUGAUAUCAACCAUUUCAGUCUCCUUUUUGUUAAAAAAAAAUAAGGCGGGGGAGGGGUAAAACUAUUGUGUAUAUUUACAUGUUAAAGUGUGCAAUCAUGUUAUUAUCUGAAACUAAUACCAUGCUGUUAAAAUUUAAAUAAAGUGUCCUGAAUGCAUACAAAAUGUUCAUUUGCUGAAGGCCAUUAAGUUAAUUUCCUGGCAACAAGAUUAAAUGCAAGGCAUUUACAUAAUCAUUAGUCGUGAGGUGUAGAAAAGAUAAUUAAAUAUUCCACCACAUUAAUUUAUAUUUAAUUAACUGUGCUUUAGUGAUCCUUCUGUCUGAAUAUUAAUAUUGUGUAAAUAAACAAUUAGAAUGCAUACUGAUUUUAUUAAAGGCUUAUUCUUAAAAUUAUGUAGAAGAUGCAAUUAUUAAUUUAAUUGUAUCUUAUUCUGAAACCUAAUCAUGUUAAUAGAGUCUAAAAAGGUCUAUCACUAGCCUCAGUGAUGACAUUUUCACAUUUUAUAUUUCCAACUACAAUGUAGCUUAUAGACUUUAAAAUAUGUUCAUUUAGUUCACCC
rnacentral:lncRNA from 10 species